GACGAACGCUGGCGGCGUGCUUAACACAUGCAAGUCGAACGGAAAGGCCCUGCUUUUGUGGGGUGCUCGAGUGGCGAACGGGUGAGUAACACGUGAGUAACCUGCCCUUGACUUUGGGAUAACUUCAGGAAACUGGGGCUAAUACCGGAUAGGAGCUCCUGCUGCAUGGUGGGGGUUGGAAAGUUUCGGCGGUUGGGGAUGGACUCGCGGCUGAUCAGCUUGUUGGUGGGGUAGUGGCUUACCAAGGCUUUGACGGGUAGCCGGCCUGAGAGGGUGACCGGCCACCUUGGGACUGAGAUACGGCCCAGACUCCUACGGGAGGCAGCAGUGGGGAAUAUUGCACAAUGGGCGGAAGCCUGAUGCAGCAACGCCGCGUGCGGGAUGACGGCCUUCGGGUUGUAAACCGCUUUCGCCUGUGACGAAGCGUGAGUGACGGUAAUGGGUAAAGAAGCACCGGCUAACUACGUG
rnacentral:rRNA from 1 species